rnacentral:rRNA from 1 species
GAUGAACGCUGGCGGCGUGCCUAAUACAUGCAAGUCGAGCGAACAGACGAGGAUCUUGCUCCUCUUACGUUGUCGUCGGACGGGGGAGUAACACGUGGAUAACCUACCUAUAAGACUCGAAUAACUUCGGGAAACGGGAGCUAAUACCGGAUAAUAUAUUGAACCGCAUGGUUCAAUAGUUAAAGACGGUUUUUCUGUUACUUAUAGAUGGUGCCGCGCCGCAUUAGCUAGUUGGUAAGGUGAUGGUGUACCAAGGCAACGGUGCUGAGCCGACCUGAGAGGGAGAUGGGGCACCCGGGAACUGAGACACGGUCCCGACCCCUACGGGAGGCAGCGGUAGGGAAGCUUCCGCAAUGGGCGAAAGCCUGACGGAGCAACGCCGCGUGAGUGAUGAAGGUCUUCGGAUCGUAAAACUCUGUUAUUAGGGAAGAACAAAUGUGUAAGUAACUAUGCACGUCUUGACGGUACCUAAUCAGAAAGCCACGGCUAACUACGUG